UACGAAGGGGGCUAGCGUUGCUCGGAAUCACUGGGCGUAAAGCGCACGUAGGCGGAUUGCUAAGUCAGGGGUGAAAUCCUGGAGCUCAACUCCAGAACUGCCUUGAUACUGGUGAUCUUGAGUCCGGGAGAGGUGAGUGGAACUGCGAGUGUAGAGGUGAAAUUCGUAGAUAUUCGCAAGAACACCAGUGGCGAAGGCGGCUCACUGGCCCGGUACGUGACGCUG
rnacentral:rRNA from 1 species